rnacentral:rRNA from 1 species
CUAGCCGUAAACGAUGGACACUAGGUGUUGGUGGUAUCAACCCCGCCAGUGCCGAAGCUAACGCAUUAAGUGUCCCGCCUGGGGAGUACGGCCGCAAGGCUAAAACUCAAAGGAAUUGACGGGGGCCCGCACAAGCAGCGGAGCGUGGGGUUUAAUUCGACGCAACGCGAAGAACCUUACCAGGGCUUGACAUGACCAGGAUCCCGGCGGAAACGUCGGUUCCCCGCAAGGGGCCUGGCCACAGGUGU